GCUACGUAGCGCUACGUAGCGCUAACUUCGGCAAAACACACCCAAUGCAACAAGGUAUCCGGUAUUUUGUUGAUCUGUCGAAGUUGUGUUCAAUAAGUCAUCAUAAUCUCUUUUUUAACAGUAUAUAUUUUUUACUGCACGUGAUUUUUAGUUAUAUAAGGUUACUUUGGCUGCAGUAAAUGUGUGCAAGAAGGAGAAUAUAUUAAUUCUGUUAUUUUCCCUGAAUAUAAUUAAGACAUUCAGACCUUAAAAAAAUGGUUGCAGCAUCCGACAUUCACUUUACAAAUAUUCAACAACGUAUGGAUCAUAUUACGCCAGGAGUACUACCAAGUGUUUCUAUAGAUCGAAUAACAAAAUGUUUACCUUUGAAAACUAUUAAUGAUAUUCUUCAGAUGGAGGAGAAAUUAAAAAAUGAAGGAGAAACAUUUAUCAACAAAUAUAAAACUUUUGUCCGAAAAAUUGGUGGUCAUACUGCGCGUGAAAUUAUUAGAAAUGUAUUAUCACAAGUAUUUACAAAUAAAUGUGCUUUGCAAUGUUCGUGGAAGGGUCGCAAACAAAAUUUUGAAGUUGCUUCUUUAUGUAUCAUAAAAUAUAUGAGAGAAGUAGUGUUAGACAUGCAUCAAAA